AGGCUUGCAUUCUUGGAAGGUAAAGGGAUAAGAAGCUGUGAAGGUUACGUAAUGGAGAUGAAAGGCAAGCUACAGGAAGUGAAAUUGGCAAUUCUUCUUGGUCCCUGUUUGGGAAAAUGUGAAUCUCAUCCUCUCAGUUUCUAGUUUGACAGACUAUAAGAGUUAGAGACGAAUGCUGAAAGACCAUGAAAAAUCUCAGAGACAAGUCAUUUCUGGGACAAUAAAUAGCGGAAGACAGCAUUUAACAAUGAAUUAAGGGAAAUUCCAUUCUUUCCUGUAUUUCAGCACUGCGGAAGUCUACGAAGCAGUUAAUGUUAAGAAAUACCAUUGACUAAAAAAAAAAAAAUGAUUUUCUGCAUUGGAUGUUAAAAGAUAUGAAGCAAGAAAUUGACCAUUCAGUGGAACAAUGUGAAUCCUAAAUUAUCUAAAUAAAAACAAGAGGAUCAGUUAAUUCAGAAAAAAGAAUUGUAUAAAUUCUGGAACUCGGUAGAUAUAUUCUCCUUAACAAAUUCUGGCAAAGAAUUCUCCCAAUCACUUAUUCAUUAGGGAUUGAGAAUUGACACUAGAAACAGAUAACUUGUGCUUAAUAUUGUGCUUAAGCUUUAAGCAUAGAAAAUUUCCUUGAUGCAAGGGGGUUACUGUGUCACCUCAAGUUAAAAGGCAAUUUAGGAAGUGAUAUGUAACUAGCAGUUUGAAAGUAUUCUAAAUAUUACUUGCUAACAAAAUUCACUCUCUACAGAAGGGACAUACCUAACAAAGAAUACAUCUUGCAGAUUGCUACAUAAAGAGAGGAAGUGAAUCGCUACCACUCAAUCCUGACAUUAAUUCAACAGACACAUAUUUUGAUUUCUGAAGAAUUAUGGAAACAUUCUUUCAGAAGAGAACAAUGAAAGAUAGCAUUCUGUGUUUAGCACAUUUCCCCUUUCCAAGUGGCAGUGGAGCGUUGUAACAGCAAAGUAAAUUGCUUCUUAUUUCUAUGUGCUUUUUAAAACUGUGACACUGACUGAGCUGAACCACC
rnacentral:lncRNA from 1 species